GAUGAACGCUGGCGGCGUGCCUAAUACAUGCAAGUAGAACGCUGAAGGAGGAGCUUGCUCUUCUGGAUGAGUUGCGAACGGGUGAGUAACGCGUAGGUAACCUGCCUGGUAGCGGGGGAUAACUAUUGGAAACGAUAGCUAAUACCGCAUGACAACAGUUAUUGCAUGAUAACUGUUUAAAAGGGGCAACUGCUCCACUACCAGAUGGACCUGCGUUGUAUUAGCUAGUUGGUGAGGUAACGGCUCACCAAGGCGACGAUACAUAGCCGACCUGAGAGGGUGAUCGGCCACACUGGGACUGAGACACGGCCCAGACUCCUACGGGAGGCAGCAGUAGGGAAUCUUCGGCAAGGGACGGAAGGCUGACCGAGCAACGCCGCGUGAGUGAAGAAGGGUUUCGGAUCGUAAAGAUCGGUUGUAAGAGAAGAACGAGUGUGAGAGUGGAAAGUUCACACUGUGACGGUAUCUUACCAGAAAGGGACGGCUAACUACGUG
rnacentral:rRNA from 1 species